rnacentral:rRNA from 1 species
GACGAACGCUGGCGGCGUGCUUAACACAUGCAAGUCGAGCGCGGCCCAACUGGUGGCAACACCAGGGAAGGCCGAGCGGCGAACGGGUGAGUAACACGUGAGCAACCUGCCCCGAAGACUGGGAUAACACCGGGAAACCGGUGCUAAUACCGGAUACCCCCACCAGACCGCAUGAUCAGGUGAGGAAAUGGAAUCCGCUUCGGGAGGGGCUCGCGGGCUAUCAGCUUGUUGGUGAGGUAACGGCUCACCAAGGCUACGACGGCUAGCUGGUCUGAGA